rnacentral:rRNA from 1 species
CCCUUAGACGUUCUGGGCCGCACGCGCGCUACACUGACCAGUGCAACAAGCAUCCGUCCUUGGCCGACAGGCUCGGGCAAUCUUUGAACGCUGGUCGUGAUGGGGAUAGACUUUUGCAAUUUUUGGUCUUCAACGAGGAAUUCCUAGUAAACGCAAGUCAUCAACUUGCAUUGAUUACGUCCCUGCCCUUUGUACACACCGCCCGUCGCACCUACCGAUUGAAUGGUCCGGUGAAAUCCUCGGAUCGAGCCGUGGGGCAACUCCGGUUCGAGAAGUUGAUUAAACCUUACCAUUUAGAGGAAGGUGAAGUCGUANCA